rnacentral:snRNA from 1 species
AGCUUUGUGCAGUGGCAUUAUCGUAGCCAAUGAGGUUUAUCCGAAGCACGAUUAUAGCUAAUUGAAAACAAAUGAAACCCUCC